rnacentral:tRNA from 1 species
GGCCUGGUGGCCUAAUGGUAAGGCGUUGGUUUCCGGCUCGCUGUGAACAUACCAAAGACUUCGGGUUCGAGUCCCGACUGGGUCG